rnacentral:lncRNA from 1 species
UUUGACCGGACCAUUAUUCGAAGAAAGAAAUAGUAGGAAGGAGGACAACCGAGUAGGAGGGUCGAGUGAAUACUUGUCGAGGUUUCGGUCCGCGACUCUGUCAUUACAUCAAAAAUAAAAGUUACAAGUUAAAAGAUAACUAAAAUUACAAAAUUCCUAUCUAUGCAGCUACUUUUCGACUCUUGACUUGAGUUUCAGCACCCUGAUCUCCGGGUGGGCUCCCGACUUGUAAUUUCAUCACUUUAUUCUCCAGGCGGGCUCCUAACUUGCAAUUUCUUUAACUUGUUGCUUGACUUUCAAUUCCUUCACCCUGUUCUCUAGGCAGGAUCCUGACUUGGUAUUUUUCAAUCUGUUGACUUUCAAUUUCUUCACCCUGUUAUCCAGGCGGGCUCCCGACUUGCUAUUUUUCAAUCUGUUAACUUUCAAUUUCUUCAUCUUGUUGCUUGUUUUUCAACUUGUUGGCCUUGUUGUUUGACUUUCAACUUCUUCACUUUGUUGCUUGACUUUCAACUUAUUCGCCCUGUUCUUCAGGCAGGCUCCUGAAAUCUUAUCAAAACUAAAAAGAAAAUUAUUCCAAACAAAGAUUAUUAUAAUGAGAGAUUCCAUUUACCGGAAAAGUAAAGUUCCAAACAACAGGAGUUAGAUUUGUUGCCCCAGUUUAUCAUAAGAGGACUUUUGUGAAUGUCGAAUCCAAUUAUAAUUAUUUGUAUGUUGCAAUGAUGAAUCAAGACUCUGACCAAGAAAUGCAUCUCUAGAGAGUAAAAUUAAAUGACCAAGACUAGGAAGUGUGUCUCCUAAGAAUUAAAGUGAGGAAUUCCGACUAGAAAGUGUGUAUUCUAGAGCUAAAGGUUCAAAUUAGGAAGUGUGCCACCUGAUAAAUAAAAACUGACAAGGAAGUGCAUCCCCUAGGGGUUAAGUGCAAUGAUUCGACUAGAAAGUACAUCUUCUAGGAAUCAAGGGGACUGACUCGACUAGGAAGGACACCUUUUAGGAAUCAAGGGGACUGACUCAACUAGGAAGCACACUUUCUAGGAAUCAAGGGGAAUGACUCGACCAGGAAGUAUUUCUUCUAGGAAUCAAGGGGACUGACUCGACCAGGAAGUACAUCUUCUAGGAAUCAAGAGGGAUGACUCGACCAGGAAGUACAUCUUCUAGGAAUCAAGGGGAAUGACUCAACCAGGAAGUACAUCUUCUAGGAAUCAGGGGGACUGACUCGACUAGGAAGUUCAUCUUCUAGGAAUCAAGGGGACUGACUCAAUCAGGAAGUAAAUCUUAUGGGAAUCAAGGGUACUGACUCGACGAGGAAUCACAUCUUCUAGGAAUCAAGGGAAGUGACUCGACUAGGAAGUACAUAUUCUAGGAGUCAAGACUUAAUUUAGGAAGUGCAUCACCUAACAAGUAAAAUUCGAAUUACCCAAUCAAGGAAGUGCAUCUCCUUACCAAUGGCGCUUGAAUUGCCGAAACAAAGAAGUGCGUCUACUUACCAAUGUCGCUUGAAUUUUCCAAACAAGGAAGUGCGUCUCCUUAUAAAUGCCACUUGAAUUACCCAAACAGGGAAGUGCGUCUCCCCACAAAUGCCACUUGAAUUACCCAAAGAAAUGCGUCUCCUUACAAAUGUCGUUUGAAUUAACCAAACAAGGAAGUGCGUCUCCUUACAAAUGACGCUUAAAUUAUCCAGACAAGGAAAUGUGUCUCCUAACAAAUGCCACUUGAAUUUCCCAAGGAAAUACGUCUUUUUACAAAUGUCACUUAAUCUACCCAUACAAGCACUACUAAAAAAUGUCAAAAAGCGACGGCCAGCGUCGCUUUUUUGGGCAAAAACGAUGGAAAUUCAUCGUUUUUUCGGUCUUAAAAAGGGGUGUCAUUUUUUGAAAACGAUGGCCUGAGUCGCUUUUACGAAUUUUUUUUAAAUUAUUUUUUUAAAAAGCAACGUUGUGCGUCACUUUUUCUUCUUUAUGUGAAGAACUCAUGAUGAACCAAAAAUGAUGGACAUCGUCGUUUUAUUAAAAAAUAAUUUUUUUUCAAAAAAAUUAACACUGUCUGUCAUAAUUUGAGAAAAAUAAAAUAUAUUUUUUAAAAAGGCGACGUUGGUCAUCGAUUUUUGUUCUUCAUUAUGAAUAAAAAGUGACGUUGGUCGUCCCUUUUUGUUCUUCAUAAUGAAUAAAAAGCAAUGUUGGUCGUGGCAUUUUGUUCUUCAUAAUGAAUAAAAAGCGACGUUGGUCGUCACUUUUUGUUCUUCAUAAUGAAUAAAAAAGCGACGACCGUCGUCGAUUUUUUGUAAAUUUUUUAUGCAGAAAUCUGCAUUUUCUGCAUCCCACCUGUCAAAUAAAAAUGCAAUUCAAUAUAUACAUCCCUCAUGCAACACACAUCAUUACAAUAUUCAUACAACAAACUACAUCAACAAAUCAUUUAACCAAUUCAAAUCAACAACACUUAAACAAAUUUCAAUGCUCUAAUUCACUUCUCAAAUGACUUAACUUAACCAUUUUCAAGUUAUGAAUUCACAUUUCACGUAUCAACACUAAACCAAUUUCAAGUCAUGAAUUCACAUUUGCAAGUGAUUACACUUCAAAAAUUUAAAAACACAAGUUCACCAUGCAAGAACUACAUUAAUCCAUUUUCAAGUCGCUAAUCCACUUUUCAAGUGACUAGUACACAUUUCAAAACACUACACUUAACCAUUUUCAACUCUCUAAUUCAUUUCUCAAAUGACUAAACUUAACCAUUUUCAAGUCAUGAAUUCACAUUUCAAGUAUCAACACUAAACCAAUUUCAAGUCAUGAGUUCACAUUUUCAAGUGAUUACACUUUACAAAUUUCAAAACACAAGUUCACCUUUCAAGAACUACAUUAAACCAUUUUCAAGUCGCUAAUCCACUUUUCAAGUGACUAGUACACAUUUCAAAAUACUACACUUAACCAUUUUCAACUCUCUAAUUCACUUCUCAAAUUACUAAACCUAACCAUUUUCAAAUCAUGAAUUUACAUUUCAAGUAUUAACAUUAAACCAAUUUCAAGUCAUGAAUUCAUCUUUUCAAGUGGUUACACUUUAACAAUUUUAAAACGCAAGUUCACCUUUCAAGAACUACAUUUCAAGUCGCUAAUCCACUUUUCAAGUGACUAGUACACAUUUCAAAAUACUACACUUCUCAAAUGACUAAACUUAACCAUUUUCAAGUCAUGAAUUCACAUUUCAAGUAUCAACACUAAACCAAUUUCAAGUCAUGAAUUCACAUUUUCAAGUGAUUACACUUUACAAAUUUCAAAACAUAAGUUCACUUUUCAAGAACUACAUUAAACCAUUUUCAAGUCGCUGAUCCACUUUUCAAGUGACUAGUACACAUUUCAAAACACUACACUUAACCAUUUUCAACUCUUUAAUUCACUUCUCAAAUGACUAAACUUAACGAUUUUUAAGUCAUGAAUUCACAUUUUCAAUUGAUUACACUUUAAAAAUUUCAAAACACAAGUUCACCUUUCAAGAACUACAUUAUACCAUUUUCAAGUCGCUAAUACACUUUUCAAGUGACUAGUACACAUUUAAAAGCACUACACUUAACCAUUUUCAACUCUCUAAUUCACUUCUCAAGAGACUAAACUUAACCAUUUUAUAGUCGUGAAUUCACAUUUAAAGUUUCAACACUAAACCAAUUUCAAGUCAUGAAUUCACAUUUUCAAGUGAUUACACUUUACAAAUUUGAAAACACAAGUUCACCUUUCAAGAACCACAUUAAACCAUUUUCAAGUCGCUAAUCCACUUUUCAAGUGACUAGUACACAUUUCAUAACACUACACUUAACCAUUUUCAACUCUCUAAUUCACUUCUCAAAUUACUAAACUUAACCAUUUUCAAGUCAUGAAUUCACAUUUCAAAUAUCAACAGUAAACCAAUUUCAAGUCACGAAUUCACAUUUUCAAGUGAUUACACUUUACAAAUUUCAAAACACAAGUUCACCUUUCAAUAACUACAUUAAACCAUUUUCAAGUCGCUAAUCCAAUUUUCAAGUGACUAGUACACAUUUCAAAAUACUACACUUAACCAUUUUUAACUCUCUAAUUCAUUUCUUAAAUGACUUAACUUAACCAUUUUCAAGUCAUGAAUUCACAUUUCAAGUAUAAACACUAAACCAAUUUCAAAUCAUUAAUUCACAUUUUCAAGUGAUUGUUGACACCUAAUUUUUUUCCUCCGUAACUGAGUUUAGUCUUGAGUUUCUUCGAUUUUAAAAUAAAAUUACAACAUUUACUUUACCCGAAUAAAAGAUUUUCAAAUCGUUUAGUCGGCUAAUUUCAUCGUUUAAGUGACGAUUAUAUACUAUCGUAUUCAAUUAUACGAAAAUAUAUAUAUAAUUUUGUCGCUUAAACAUUUAUUCUACGGAAUGCCGGUCUUUUAAUUAAGGAUUAUCUUGAAAAUAAUUUUAAUAAUUAGAAUCUUGAUUCAAAUAAUUUACUCUCAAAAAAUAAUUUAUUCGGAUGAAUAUGUGUUUAAUUUUUAUCGAAUCAAGAAGCUUGGGGUUAAAUAAGCUAUUAAUUCAUUUCAAGAAAUGAUUUAAUUUGGAAAAUCUGUUACAUUCGUCCGCAAUUGAAAUCAAAUUGGCCAUAAUUGCGAUGCAAUUGGCCAAUUGAUCUUCAAUUCAGCCAAAACCUGAAUGAAUGGCCAAAUCCUCAAUUUCAACCCAAUUAGCAAAUCAGUAGCGGCCCAUUUUCUCUUCAAUUAUAUCAACCGGACCGAGCCAUAUAUUCCUGACCCACCAGCCCACCCCCUAUUUUCCAAAUUCCCAAAAUAAUCUAAACCAGCCCAAUGAUAAUUAACUGCCACCCCAAGCCCAACAACAAACGACCGGCCCAGCGCCUAAACCCCUACCCAGCCCAUCUUCUUUUCCUCUUUAACUUCCAUAAGCAACAAAAACUUCAAGUCAACACCAACCAUCGUUAACACCAACCAAAUCUAGAACCCACCUUCAACCCAGAAUUUGGAGAAACUAGAAACCAACUCCAUCCUUCUUCACGCGUUCCAUGCGAUAGCACGAUGAGGAAAGACCUAAAAGCUUCUAGAAAAUAGGUGAGUUGGCUCACCCCAACGGAUAAAUUCCAUGAAUCUCAAAAUUAUUGGUACGAUUUCAUACCUAUGUGUUUGGUUUUGAUUUGUUUUGGGAGGGGAUUUCUACUUUUCCUUUUCCUAUUGGUUGGAACCAAUUCAAAAUUUUCCAAGAAUCCAAAAAUCGGUACAAGUUCGAGUAACAAAUCCCGUUGUCAACCUUAUCAUCAGUUUUGAAUUUUGAAAUUUUUGUAAAAUACCAAGACUGCCCUUACGGGAAGCCCAAAAAUGAACCCUAUCUUUUUGUUUCUCUAUAAAGAGGGGGGCUUGAGUAUUCUAAGGGAGUCUCUUGCUUUUGGGGGGAGGAAGGAAAAAAUUUCUUGAGAGGAAAAUUCUAGGUCACUGUUUAUGGCAUUUUUUUUCUCUUCUUUUCCUUCUGAGGUUGAUAUUACGAGGUUAGUUAUCGAGAGGGGUUUUUCUUUUCUUUUUUUUUUUUGGCUUUUUGGGGAGGGGUUAGAAAUCUUGGUUGAAAUUAGAAGGUUUGAGACAAGAUUUGGAAAGAAACUGAAGAAAAAUUUUUCUUAAGCUAGUUCGAAAGGUUGAUUAGAAGUUGGGUUGGGGAUUCUGAAAUCAAAGAAGUUUAUUUCCUGAAAAAUUUGCUCGUCCAUUUCUUUUUUGGAAGCUAGUCGAUUAAUUAGGAAUUCCCGAGUCGACAACAUUAAUUCCCAGUGGUGACGACUUUACUAAUAGCUUAUCGUCCCGCUUGCUGCUCUGGAAUAGGUAAAGAUCCCUCAUCCUGUUUAAUAUACCGUUCUCUUCUUCCACCUUGUUUCAUUGUAAUGAUGUUUGGUCAUUCGAAUAUAAGGUCUAUUAGGGGGGCUGUAUUGGUUUAAAAGAUGAACAUAGUGUCUAUUAUGAGGGUGUAUGAUCUUUUGAAUGGUGGAGAGUCUGUUGUCUGGUUAUUUUCUUAAAGAAAUCCCUAUUCAUAGUUUCAUCUUGGUUGGUUCUGGUUCACUUGUUUUAUUUUGUUCACAAGACUGAAGCUUAAAAUGUGUAGGGGUUUUGUGGGUAUCCUGACCCCUAUUGAUCAAUUGCAAAAAAUGUGUUGGAAGUACAAGUAGUUUAUUAGCACGUGAGUCGUCUGAUGGUUGUUUAUAUUUUCAAACUCAAGUUGUCCGCUUGAGAACCAGUUUUCAAACCCACUCUAGAUACUUAGGAUAGAGCGAAACCAAAACCCUAUUUUAGGUAUGAGCCUAGGACGACAUAAUACCCGAGUGGGGUAUUGGGCCCAUUGAAAACCUACCCUGCGUCUAUUAACCCCGAGUAAAUUACAGAAGAAUCAUAUUUAUGUGUUGAAGAAAUAUAUGUUUGUUUUAUCCAAUCCAUUAUCCUUUGGGGGUCGGGAGAAUACUUGUUUUACUCACUUUUGUAUAAGGAUGCCUCAAUCGUACACCGAUUGACGAAAGAAUUGAAAUUGAUCGAUUUGGAAGGUUGCAUCUAAGGCACAGUUUACAUACGUCACCAAUAUAAGAAGGCGGAGGUUGAUAGAAGAAGCACUCAGGAAUUAGUAUUUUCUAUCCCCUGCGUGGGAGCUUUUCUUCUUUCAUGCUAUUUCCCUUGUUUCCUAAAGAUUGUACCCCUCUUUUGUUAUCGUUUGUAAGCACUUACGCAUACCUUUUUCGUGUCUAUAUAAGUUGGAUGAUAAUGGAUUGACUUUAUGAAAGCAUAUACUUUCUUCAAAAAUCGUUAGGCCUGAACCCUUGGUUCAAAAAGGGUCACCCCAGUUAGGAUACACAUUAUUAUAAUGUUUUGUGUAAUUGUCUUAUGAGCUUAUGUGUGUUUGUUUGGAUCAAAGGCAAGUUGAUCCGCUAUGCUCCUAUGGAUUAAUUGGAUAUGACUCAAACAACUCUACGUGGUUAUUUCUUGUCAAAUAUUUUGCAUUACUUAUCACAUACAAAAACUAACACAUCUGCUUUUGAGUUGUUUUACUUUACAGAUAAUAGAAACUACUCUGUGUUGAUAUAAGCUGGCAGAACAUCCCUACUUUAUCCACCCUAAAGUGCAUAAAAUCCCAUCCUCUGACCAUCAUUCAAUAGUGAUUGGAAAUGAUGAAGAAAACACGUUGGCCAUCAGGGACAAUGUAAUAGUGGAACAGAGUGAGAUGAUUGCGAAACUCGCAAGAAAAUUAGAAAUGCUUCAGGAGGAAAUAAAUCGUACUCGAGAUUUGGCUCACCUGGCCAUCACUAUUAAUGCUCCCGCUCCAGGAGAACAUGAUACUCCACUCCAAAUCCCUUCCCUCAGUACGCCUAUUCUUGGGGAUCAACCAAAUAACAUAUCAUUCGUCUCUGCCCCUCCACUUGUCCAAAAUACCAAUCAUGAAAAUAACCCAGAUGCUUACCAUCCACAAAAUCCAUCUCUAACCCCACAAAAUCCAUUUCUGAAUCCAUCUCCAAAUCCUCAAAAUACAUUCACAAAUCAACAAAACACAUUCCCAAAUCCGCAAAAUUCACUCCCAAAUCCACAAAAUAUGUCAAACCUACCUUUGAAUCCACCAAAUUCAUUUCCAAAUCUGCAAAAUCCUUCUCAUAUUCUGCCAAACUACUCACAAAGUCCACAGAACCUUCCCAAUUUUCAAAACAUACUCCCCACUUACCAACCAAGUUCUUUUCUUCCACAAAAUCAAGCCUCCCUUCAAAAUCCCCCUCAAGCCAUCAUAUCCCCUGAUAUUUUUGAACCCCUUCCUAACCCUGAGAUGGACCAUUACAAAGAAAAGGAGAAAGAGUAGAGUAUGAACCCCUUCCGAACCCCGAGAUGGACCAUUACGAGGAGAAGGAGAAAGAGUGAAGGACCCAGCAUGAAAGGAAUUUACUAGCUAUGAAGGAAGAGAUCAUGAGGAUCAAAGAGUCUCAUAGAGCCAGGGACCACGGCGGUUUAGGGUAUGACGAUUUAUCCGUUCACCUGGGAGUAGACCUACCAUAUGGGUACAAAGUCCCUAAGUUUGAGAUAUUUGAUGGUACCAAAAAUCCAAUGGCCCACCUGAGAAGGUACUGUGAGCAACUGGUAGGAAUAGGGAAAAACGAGGCAUUAUUGAUGCGCCUAUUAAGUCAAAGUUUGAGUGGCAAAACCUUGGAGUGGUUCAUGUCUCAGGAGCUAAAAAAGUGGACUGGAUGGAAAGCAUUGGCCAAGGGUUUCCUUGACCGGUUCGUAUUCAGCAUUGAAAUAGUCCCUGAUCGAUAUUCACUAUAUCGGAUCAAACAGAGAAAAGUUGAGAGUUUUUGAGACUAUGCUUUUCGUUGGAGAAAAGAAGCCGCCAAAGUGCAACCCCCCAUGUCCGAGGAGGAAAUGGUAUUCGUGUUCUCUCGCGCUCAUGAAGGAGAAUAUUAUACCAGGAUGGUGUCCGCUGUCAGGGCAAUUUUUGUGGAUUUGGCAAAAAUAAGAGAAUAAUUGGAAGAAGGUAUUUGGACAGGGAAAAUUGCCAAAACCCCGACGUCGUCUGCGACUGUCAUGUUCUCGAAGAAGAAAAAUGAAGAUGUAGGUGUGAUUUCUGCUAAUCCUGUUGCGAAAACGAAAAAGAGGUUCAACUUUAGAAAUGUUUUAUCUUCUCCGCCGUCACCCAACCUCCAACACGUGUUCUACGCGCAUCCCCAAUACCUAGCUCCACUCUCAAAUGCCCAACCUCCAUAUUAAUAAAAAUUAUGUAAAAUGUCGGAUUUGAAUUAAUAAAUUAUGAAAAAUGAUAAUUUAAUAAAUGUUGAAAUGACGAUAAAAAUAGUAAGACGUCACCACUCCCAAACAUCCAAUCCUCAUACCAAGCUCCACAACCAAAUACCUUUUCUCAUUACCUAGCUCCACCUCCAAAUUAUCAAUCUCAUUUACAAUCCACUCCUCUAAAUAACCAAACAAAUUUCCAAGCGCCUCCAAAUUAUCACCAAGUACCUCCUCCUCCAAAUCAAAGCCAGUACAACCCCCAACGUCUAAACCACGAAAAGAAACGUCCCCAAAACUUUACCCCACUAGGUGAAAGUCGCACUUAAUUGUUUGAAAGAUUGAAGAAUGCUGGUCAUUUGAAACCAACAUAGCCAAGGCAUGUCAAUACUAACUCUUGAUUUUUCAAUGCAAGUCAACAUUGUACCUAUCAUUCAAGAGUAGCGGGGCACAAUACAGAAGAUUGUGGCUACCUGAAACAUAGGAUCUAUGAUUUAAUCGAUCAGAAGGUCAUUACGCUCCAGGCACCUACACCAAAUGUUAACAGUAAUCCAUUGCCUAACCAUGGGGGGCCUACAGCUAACAUGAUUGAAAUAGAGGGUGAACGGGCAUCCAGCAAGACCAUCACUAAGGUAAAUUCAAAAGGACUCAAAAGAAUAAAAGAGGUGGAGAAGAUAGAGAAAGUUGUGACCACCUUAAGUAAGGAUUUGGAAGGAAUUGUUGAGCCUGUUAUGGUCCCAGAAAAAGCAUUUAAGCAUGGAAUAGAGUACCAACCAAGAAAAGAAAAUGAGAUCGAAGAUAAUUCAAAGGAGAGUCCGUCUAAACCAUCGUCACUCCUGCACCAAUUAUUUCCCUUACAUGAGACGUUAAAUGAUGAUGGUAUUGGGGAUGGGAUAGGAAAUCUGUUCAAGGGAUACAGUGCUGUAUCAGAAGAUUUUUCAAAACAUAGUGGGGUAAAGAAGGUUGCACCAGGAGAGGCUUUGCAAAAUUGGACUUCCACUCCGCUCCUAAUUCAUCACCCGUCGCUGUAGAUGGAAAGACAAUUACUAAUAGUUUUUAAAAUCGGUGAUGAUUCGGAAGAGGCCCUGUGAUCCAUCCUUUUAUGUCUCAAAUUGUCGUUUCGUGUUUUACAACUUUCAAAAAGGCAUGGGCCCACAUUUGUGUGGGUCAUAAGCCAUGGUUUUAUUUUCUUAUUUUCUGAAAGGCCUCCCUUUAUUUAAGAAGUUAUUUUUUUAAAUAUGAUUAUCUAGCAUGGUUUAUAUUGGUAGCAUUAAUUUAAAAACCUGUCAAUGUCAUGUCAUGUCAAGGGUAAGAUGAACACGGCGAAGGAAAUAAUGAUGAACAGAAAAGGUGAUGAGGAGCGGUUAGUAGUAGAUAUAAAGGAAUGUGAAAAUCAAAAGAAGCCCAACCUAGAGGAGCCCUAAUCCUACCUGAGACGUAUGGUCAAGAGUGGACCAAACUGAUCAAUUCUGAUGCGGUAAAGAUAUAUCAUGCUUGAAAGAUGUUAUAGUUUUUGCUUCUUGGCUUAUUUGUAAUCUCCUUUAUAAUAGUAUCAAUUUUAUGAAGUGUAAUCGCCUAGAAUCCUUUCCUUUUAUGUUCGAACUACGUUUGACCUGAAUUCCCAAAAGGGAGGCGGCCUAUGUCGGCUUCGGUCAACCCCUUAGGAAAUUUAUCCUUUCCCUUUAUGUAUGAACUACGUGAUGACCUAAAUUCCUGAGAAAGGGAUACGUAGGUGGCCUAUGUCGGCUUUGGUCAACCCAUUAAUUUCUUUUGUAUAUCCCUAGCGUAGUUUUGAACUACGUUUGACCUGAUUCCUGCUUCAACGGGAUACGUAGGCACCCCAACGGCUCAGUCAUACCCUAGAAAAUGGAAACUGGGGCAGAAUUUUCGAGAAGGAACCUCAAAAAUUCAUAAGAGAAGAUCGAUGCCGAACAAAGAGAAUGAAGAUCAGCAAAGACUUCAGAUCCACUCGAGUUAGUAUCAUCCCAAACAACUCUAAACUGGGGCAAAAAGUUUGAGGGAAGACCUCAAAAUUUCGACCAGACGCUGGAACAUAUUUCAAAUUCCCCAGCACUAGAGGUCAAAGUUGAGAUUGGAGAAUCACCACCUGUGAUAAAUAUUAGGAAGAUUGAAUCACCGUCUUUGAUAAAAACUUCUGGUAGAGAUCCUUGACAAUACUGAAUCCCUAACAAUCCUCUGUCAAACGUCGGACAUUGUCAGAAUCAAGAAAAAGAUGGUCGUUGGACUAGCACAUGACAUGACUAGCAGAGAUUUUCUAAAGCUUUCGAAACUAAUUUCUAAAAUUUAAGACUACUUUCAAAAAUCCUCAUAAAUCUUUUAAUUAGUAUUUACCUAGACAUCAAUUGGGACGGAGAGUCAGGGGUAGAGGUCCCAGCAUGAUGAAGCACCUGAAAGAUGGCGAGGAGCAAAUCAAGGAUUGAAUGAGGUCAAAACGGAGUAAUUUUAUUCAAACUAAUCAUUUUUUUGUGGAUGCAGGGAUCAAUACACAAAAAUAAGAGUCUCUUUCAAAAAAUACCCAGCAAAUUGGGUGCCACACUGGAGCAUUAAUGCCCAAGAACGGUGUUUUAGGGUAGCCCUAAAAAUAGGUUUAAUGCCCAUUUAAUGAGGACCUUUUGAUUUGUCCAUCUCAUUUCUUGAGAUCGUAGGCGACAAACAAAAGCUCUUUGUCUUCUUUACAAAUAUUAUAUUUAGAAGUUUCCUAAAAAUAGUCGCUAGUAAAAGAGACUUUGUGUUUACUAAUCGUCCACCUUGAGUACAGGUACAUGUAGAAAGCAGGACACUGACAAAUAAAGCCACGUAAAAUUAUUUUAUCAUUGCCGCAAAGGCCAUUAGAUAUCAUUGCCGCAAAGGCCAUCGCAUAUCAUUGCCGUAAAGGCCAUGACAUAUUAUUAUCGCAAGGGCAAUCACAUAUCAUUGCCGCAAAGAACAAUACAUAUCAUUGCUGCAAAGACCAUUACAUAUCAUUGCCGCAAAGGUCAUUACAUAUCAUUGCCGCAAAGUCCAUUACAUAUCAUUGCCGUAAAGGCCAUUACAUAUCAUCGCCAUAAAGGCCAUUACAUAUCAUUGCCGCCAGGGCAAUCUCAUAUCAUUGCCACAAUGGCCAUUUCAUAUCAUUACCGCAAAGGCCAUCUCAUACCAUUGCCCCAGAAGGCAUUCAAUAUCUGUUGACGCGCUAGACACAAUGCUGGCAUCGAGGAUAUCAUCAUCAUUCAAUAUCUGUUGACGCGCUAGACACAAUGCUGGCAUCGAGGAUAUCAUCAUUCAAUAUCUGUUGAUGUGCUAGACACAACGUUGGCGUCGAGGAUAUCCUCAUCAUUCAAUAUCUAUUGAUGCGCUAGACAUAACACUGGCAUCGAGGAUAUCACCAGCAUUCAAUAUAUCUGUUGACGUGCUAGACACAACGCUGGCAUCGAGGAUAUCAUCAUCUUUUCAUGAAUCAGUAGCUGAAUGCAUCGAGAGCGCAUGAUUUGAAGGGACGCCUUUAAGUCGCUAUCUAUGGAUGAAAGAUAUAUAAGGUUUCCUAGAAAUUGACAAUUUGAGGGUCAUCUAUAAGUCAUAUUAUUUGAAAUAGGAUAGUGUGCAAGAUCACCUAUGAGUUGAUAGCUUGUAGGUCAUCCGUAAGCCACAACAACAUCCUAACCGAAUAAUGUGCAAGAUUGCCCAAAAAUCGAUAGUUCAAAGGUUAUCCACAAGCCGCAACUAAAUCCUUACCGGAGAAUAUGCAAGAUUAACAAAUUGAUAUGUCCAAAGGUUCUCUAUAAGACGCGUCAUAUCCAAGAUUGAUUAUGUGCAGGAUUACCCAAAGACUAAUAAUUUGAGGGAUUAUCUAUAAGUCAUAUUGUAUCCAAGGUCGGAUGAUGUGCAUCAACACCUGAAAGCUAGCAACUGGAGGGAUAUCGGUAAGCCAUCUCUUAUCCAAAGUCAAAUAAUGUGCAGGAUUACCUAAAAGCUAGCAAUUCAAAGGAUAUUUGUAAGUCGCCUCGUAUCCAACUUCAAAUAAUGCACAAGAUUAUCCAAAGAUUGACAAUUUAAAAAAAAAAAUUAUAAAUCGAUCAUCUGCUAUAACCAAAGAGGUUAUCAUUCCACAUACAAAAAGUGAUAUAGGUAACCAAAAGGGUUGCCACACCAGUAUAAGAUUACACAGCUAUAGGGACCGUUCUACAAAAAAUAUCCUCGGUGUCCAAAAGGGCCACCCCACUCUGAAGGCAUAUUCAACCGACAAAUGUCAUAAUUAUACAACAACCAAGAUGAUUGUUGUAUUUGUUGUUGCCAGUUAUUUCAUUCCAAAACAGGUGCAUGGAAAGAUGACUUUGCUUCUUAGACAACAACUCACGUGGAGAUGUGGUAAAAACUAUACUCCUUUCUCGUGAAUUGUGCUUAUUAUUAAUGAUUUUUGUUUGAGAUAUUGUUGAGAGCAUCCGAGAGGAUGAAAAUCUCAAAUCAAAACCACAGGUGCGGACGACUCCCAAAAAGAACGCAGCACAACGUCGAACUCUGACUCAGCAGCAAAAUGGGACAUAGUCUGGAGAGAGAUGCCAAACUCUCUAGACACGAGCUAAAUGAUGAUCACCACCACCAUCUAACCACGCCUCUAUUAGAAAGAAUGUGGGUAUUUUUGGAUAUUAUGGUCUCAGCUUUACUUUUGAGAUGUUUUCUUAACUCAUAUCGAGAGGAACUUUCUCAUCCUUUCAAAUUCAAGUGACAACAUACUUAGAAUUUUGGAAAUUAUGGCCGGGUAAGUUCUUUUCUAUGAGUGGGAAGGAUCCCACAUUCUUGAUUAAGAGGUUACAAGCCUUUUUCCACAGCUCAAUCAACUUGUCAUUUAUCCUAAGCCAAAGACCGUCUGAAAUAAAGGCUAUCUUUUCUACCGAUUGAGUCGAACUACAAGCAGUCUGAUUCCUUAAGUCUUGGGGAUAUGUAGGCUGGGCUCCGUAUAGAAAACUCAAUUGCGUUCCAACCUCCCCUAAAUCCCUCUACUCCCUCACUUUUUUUAUUUUAUCAUAAAUUCCCAAAAAAUCGAGAUAUCUUGUGAAUUUUUGAAACCUGAUGCCGAGGUCCUGCCAUAACUCCUUAGGAUCGUACAUAAACCAACUUCCUCCAGAUAUGAAUUUGUGGUCGGACAAAAUUAGGGACAUCAACCUCUCUUUGCCCAGGGUCACUUGCAUUCACCCUAUCCAAAGGGAGAGGGCAGUUGUUGACACCUAAUUUUUGCCCACAGUAACUGAGUUUAGUCUCGAGUUUCUUUGAUUUUAAAAAAAAAUUACAACAUUUACUUUACCCGAAUAAAAGAUUUUCAAAUCGUUUAGUUGGCUAAUUUCAUCGUUUAAGUGAUGAUUAUAUACUAUCGUAUUCAAUUAUACGAAAAUAUAUAUAUAAUUUUGUCGCUUAAACAUUUAUUCUACGGAAUGCCGGUAUUUUAAUUAAGGAUUAUCUUGAAAAUAAUUUUACUAAUUAGAAUCUUGAUUCAAAUAAUUUACUCUCAAAAAAUAAUUUAUUCAGAUGAAUAUGUAUUCAAUUUUUAUCGAAUCAAGAAGCUCGGGGUUAAAUAAGCUAUUAAUUCAUUUCAAGAAAUGAUUUAAUUUGGCCAAUCUGUUAGAUUCGGCCGCAAUUGAAAUCAAAUUGGUAAUAAUUGUGAUGCAAUUGGCCAAUUGAUCUUCAAUUCGGCCAAAACCUAAAUGAAUGGCCAAAUCCUCAAUUUCGACCCAAUUAGCAAAUCAGUAGCGGCCCAUUUUCUCUUCAAUUAUAUCAAUCGAACCGAGCCAUAUAUUCCUGACCCACCAGCCCACUCUCUAUUUUCCAAAUUCCCAAAAUAAUCUAAACCAGUCCAAUGAUAUUUAACUGUCACCCCAAGCCCAAUAUCAAACGACCGGCCCAGCGCCUAAACCCCUACUAACCCAUCUUCUUUUCCUCCUUAAAUUCCAUAAGCAACAGCAACUUCAAGUCAACACCAACCAUCAUCAACACCAACCAAAUCCAAAACCCACCUUCAACCCAGAAUUCGGAGAAACCAGUAACCAACUCCAUCCUUCUUCACGCGUUCCACAUGAUAGCACGAUAAGAAAAAACCUAAAAGCUUCUAGAAAAUGGGUGAGUUGGCUUACCCCAACGGCCAAAUUCCUUGAAUCUCAGAAUUAUUGGUACGAUUUCGUACCUAUGUGUUUUUUGGUUUUGAUUGGUCUUGGGAGCGGAUUUAUACGUUUCCUUUUCCUAUUGGUUGGAACCAAUUCGAAAUUUUUCAAGAAUCCAAAAAUCGGUAAAAGUUCGAGUAACAAAUCCUAUUAUCAACCUUAUCAUCAGUUUUGAAUUUUGAAAUUUUGGAAAAAUACCAAGACUGACCUUACGGAAAGCCCAAAAAUGAACCCUAUCUUUUUGUUCCUCUAUAAAGAGGUGGGCUUGAGGGUUCUAAGGGGGUCUGAGGGAGGAAAAAAGUUCUUGCGAGGAAAAUUCUAGGUCACUAUUUAGGUUAUUUUUUUCUCUUCUUUCCCUUCUGAUGUUGAUAUUACGAGGUUAGUUAUCGAGAGGGGUUUUUCUUUUCUUUCUUUAUUUUGGCUUUUCAGGGAGGGGUUAGAAAUCUUGGUUGAAGAUUAGAAGGUUAGAGACAAGAUUUCGAAAGAAACUGAAGGAAAAUUUUUCUUAAGUUAGCUUGAAAGGCUGAUUAUAAGUUGGGUUGGGGAUUCUGAAAUCAAAGAAGUUUAUUUCGUGAAAAAUUUGCUCGUCCAUUUCUUUUUGGGAAGCUAGUCGAUUAAUUGGGAAUUCCCGAGUCGACAACAUCAAUUCCCAGUGGUGAUGACUUUACUGAUAGCUCAUCGUCCCACUUGCUGCUCUGGAACAUGUAAAGAUCCCUCAUCCUAUUUAAUUUACCGUACUAUUUUUCCACCUCGUUUUGCUGUAAUAAUGUUUGGUCGUUCAAAUAUGAGGUCUAUUGGGGAGGGAGGGGCUUUGUUGGUUUAAAAGAUGAACAUAGUGGCUUUUGUCAGGGUGUAUGGUCUUUUAAAUGGUGGAGAGUCUGUUGUCUGGUUAUUUUCUUAAAGAAAUCCCUAUUCAUGGUUUCAUCUUGGUUGGUUCUGGUUCACUUGUUUGAUUUUGUUCACAAGACUGAAGCUUAAAAUGUGUAGGGGCGUACUCAGGGAAGUAUGAGUCUGUUUUCUUGAUUCCCAUAUGUAAUAAUGCAGAAAGUGAUGGCUCUUUGGGGUUGUUUCUGGAUGUGUUUUAAUCAUAUCCUUGUAUAGCAUACCAAGUCCAGAUUGUCAGGUUUUCUAUAUCAUUUCUUUCUAGAAUUUUCCUUUCAUCUAAGUUCUAUCCUUGGCUUUCAAUUUUCUGUUCCCAGGUCGGAUUGACAACAUUCUGUUCGUAGCUCAUAUUUGGUGUGGUUCUGAUGGUCAUUAUUAGUCUAAUGUGAUGCUCAUAAGUUGGGGUGCAAUUAAAUCUAUGUUAGUUUAAUGAAUUGCUUGUAUCAAAUCUGGGUAUCUUUUGCCUUAAGUUGCUCUUUGUUGUUAUGUAUAGCACUAUUAUUAUACUAACGGGAUAUCAGAUACGUUUUCAUGUUUCUUUGAGCGUUGUUUCUAGACGUUUCGCCAAGUAAGGAGUUCUCUGCCUGUUGAAUAAAAAUAAGUAUCAUCUUGAUAAUUGAUUGAAGUGUUAGUUGUUAGGAUGCUAUAGUAUUUGUGUACCCACUGAAUUUCUUCUAGUUAUUCAUGCUUAAAUUAAUUCCAUAUGUGUGGAUCAUAUUUUUGUUCCAUUGUUUUAUAAACUUGAAUGCAGUUAGGCAUAUGUUAUAAACUCGAAUGCAGUUAGGCAUAUGUUAGAGUAAAUAGUUGCUUCUGCCAAAUGUGGUCCCUUUUCGUAAUGUUUUCCCUUCCUCUGGAUCUUAUGACAUUACACCAUUAAAAUAUAUUUUAAUGCUCUGCCAAGCAUUCUAUCUAAUUGGUUUCCUGCGUAUCGAAUGGAAUUACUAUUAUGUUUAUAUGGAUUGAACUAUUGGUUGUCAUUUUGCAGUGUUCGUGUAUCGGUUCAAAUUCUUUCUUAAGUUCUUUUAGUUGAAUUAUUUCCUCAUCCUUAUUUUUACAUGUUCCUUGCAUGAACCCGCUUUGUGAGAAAAAAAAAUGGACCCUAUUCCUGCUGUUGCAUUAUUAAUGGGGGCCAAUGAGACCCAUUCCUCACGAGCCAAUUAUUAAAAAUCUUAAAACAAGGACCUCAUAGUACGCGGAUCUGAGAGGUUAAUGAAGAACAGCAAUAGAUUAAAGGCCUACGUUUGGAGCGGUUAAGAGGCUCAAAAGUCUCAUUCGUUGUUUUAUUUACUUGUUUAUUUAUUUAUUCAUCUAUUUGGGUCUCAAAGCCAAAGUUGUAAAUUUAAUACAGGUGGAGCGAUACUCGAGCCAAAGGCUCGAAAUAUAAACUAGGAUAGGUGGAAGACGAGCUGAAAGCCUAAUAUCUAGACUAGGACAGGGUGACGAAUUUGGGCAUAAAGGCCCAAAUAAUUUAUUUCUUCCUCUAUUUUCCUUUCGUUAUUUUAUUUUCUUAGUGUUCGAAUCUAGUUAACUCCCUAACUAAGUCGCUAAAAAACUGAUUUUGCAAAAACCUUCUCAGUAAUUAACUACUUUUCCAACAAAUCGAUUUUUCAAAGUUAGUCAAAAGAACGUUUUCAAACAGAUUGGAUAACCGCAAGUUAGAGGACGUUUUAGGUGUCUAACACCUUCCUAAAACAUUAAUAGGAACCGCUUACUCAGAAUCUUCAAACUUAAAAUGAUUUUUCUGUUUUGAAUCGUUUGAAGUAACUCCCUAAAAGUUUCUUAAUUCCUUUUCAAAAUUAAGUGGCGACUCUCUUUCACAAAAUGUCAAAAUUUUAUCAAAACAGUGAUUACACUUUUUGAAUUUCAAAACACAAGUUCACCUUUCAAGAACUACAUUAAACCAUUUUCAAGUCACUAAUCCACUUUUCAAGUGACUAGUACACAUUUCAAGGAACUACACUUAACCAUUUUCAACGCUCUAAUUCACAUUUCAAGUGACUAAGUCUAACCAUUUUCAAGUCAUGAAUUCAUAUUUCAAGUGUCAACAGUAAACCAAUUUCAAGUUAUGAAUUCAUAGUUUCAAGUGAUUACACUUUACAAAUUUCAAAACACAAGUUCACCUUUCAAGAACUACACUAAACCAUUUUCAAGUCCCUAAUCCACUUUUCAAGUUACUAGUACAUAUUUCAAAAUGCUACACUUAACUAUUUUCAACACUGCACUGAACCAAUAUUCAAAACUUUAACGCGUCCGUUAAUGUUAAUUAAAACAUAUGCUUGAAUUCCACAUGUAUUUGUGAGUGAUUGAAUAUGGCACUAACACAGCAUGGGAUGGCCAGCUUGUUUGUGUAACAUAUUUGAAAACCCCAACUAACAAAUCUAUAAAAUAAAAUUGAAAGUGACAAUACCAAGUGAUAUAUAUAUAUAUAUAUAUGAUGAAUAAUGAAUAAUUAGAUAAAAAAAAUUAUUUAUUAUAAGAUUUUACGAAUUAACACAAGUUAUAUAGUUCUAGUCAUUACUCAACCAUAGUGUUAAUUAGGUCCAUUAAUGUUUCCUGUGUUUAUCCCUUAUGAUUCAUGAAAAAAAAAGAUUAUAUUCUAGUAUCUAAUGUUUCUAUUAAUCUAUAAUGAACUCCAACUAUGAGAGGGUUAUAACUUAGUGAUCAAAAGCAUAGGCAUAAUUAACAACUCAGUUUACAAACCCCUCCUGUAUUACUUCAACAAUAAAAAGGAAAUUAAAACUCAAAUGAACACAGAUAAACUACGAAAAAUACCAACUUCAAAAUAAAAAGAUCGAACCAAAAUACGAGAGAUAGAGAAGAAGGGGAUGAGAAGUGCAGACUUAAAAUUAGGGAUGAGAAGACUACGGAUUUUUCAUAGUAAUUUUGUUUGCCUCUUCUCUUCUUCAUACGUGUUAUUAUUUAUAACUAAUGCAUCACCCGAGUCCCACACAUAACUUUUUCAUUUUCUAAUUUUUCCCUUCACUGUAUAUUCUUGACUCAAAUCAUUCAUAACACAUAAGUAAACGUCAAUUAAACUAAAUUUGUUCAUCAAGCACAACUGAAAAUAGUGAAAAAUAAUAAAGCAGCAAGUAGAUAUCAAUUAAGGUAAGAGAGCUAACGGAGAAAAGAAUGAGGAAGACCAGAGAGGCGGUGGGACGACUGAUAUAGAUGGCUUUUCGUCAAUGAAAACUCCGGCGUUAUCUCGAUGGCGGCAUCCACUAGUGCUUUGCCGGCUAACAUCGCGGAUGCUGAGAGCAUUUCAUGGUGUCAGCGCUGGCUUUGAGGCUAGCCGAUUGGUCUGUCAAUAUUGGCGACACGACAGGGAGAAGAAGAAGGCAAGGGAGGCGGCGCCAUUGUUGGUCAGUCCACCGGCGGCGGUUCGCUGUCUGUUAUGAGAGUCUUCUAGAGAGAGAGAAUAUAGGGAAGGAAGAGCCUUUGUGCGACGGAAAAAUGGGGGCUUAGGGUUUGGUCAUGUGUUUUAAAAGGAAAGAG